CGGAAGCGGCGGCGGGAGUGGGCGGGGCUACCCAGAGUGCAGCGCGGCACUUCCGCUCCCGCGGGAGGCACAGGGAGCAGAGCGCCCCCUCGUGCUUGGAGGUCCAGAGGAGAGGCGUUUGAGCCGAAUGCGCAUGCGCACAGCUGCGGGCACCUGAAUGCGUGUUCACGCGCGCGUGCAUGCGGGUGUACAAGGUCACGGGCAGCCCUGCACAGACACGUGCACGCUUCCUGCACUUGUGCGCCUUUACACACACACCGGCAAGCUUCCGUGCAUACAUGAACGUUUGUAUGCAUACUUCCAUAGCGGGAGGAGAGCUGGUGUUUAAUGACAUCCUUCAUCCUCUGAAUAAGGAGCGUGCUGAAUCAUCCCAUCUGCAGGCACACUUCUGCGGGGCUGCUGGCGGGUGGGGAUGGGGGUAGAGAUAGGGAUGGGGAUGGGGAUGGGGAUGGAAUAAGGAGGGGAAUGAGAAUGGGAUGGGGGUAGAAAGAGGAUGGAGUGGGAUGGGAUGAGGAUAGGAUGAGGAUGGGGAUGAGAAUGGAUGAGGAUGGGAUGGGAAUGGGGAUGAGAAUGGGAUGAGGAUGGGAUGGGAAUGGGAAGGGGAUGAGCGCAGGGAUGGGGAUGGGAUGGAAAUGGGCAUGGGAAUGGGCACAGGGCACAGAGCACCAACUUUCCCUCCCCAAGCCAUGCUCUGAGUUUGGGCUCAGAGCUUUCCCCCUGUUUUUCCUGUUUUCUUGGGCUGCAGAGAGCUCUCAGCCAUGCACUGAGAGACCCAAAGGGAAACCAAAAAUUUCCUAACUCGUGUCUUUUUCAUCCAAGUUGACACAUCGGAGAAGUGCCCAUCUGUGGGUUCAUCCUUCUCCAUGGGUGCGUGCAGGUGGUCUCCUGGGUACUGCAGAAACAUUGGGGGAUGCUCAGCCACAGCAGGACCAGGGUGAUAACCCAGAGGCUUUGCAGCUCCUCGGGACAGUUUUAUCCUGAAAACAGAAGAACCACAGCUCGGUGGUUCCCACAGCAUUGCCACGCACCAUGGGGACAGCAGAUCUGCACCGACCUGUUUGCAAGCAGUGAAGAGGAGCAAAAUUCUUUCCCCGUCACACAUUAAACCUUUCUUGGAGAAGUGCAAUUACCACUGAAAAACCAAGCAAAGCAAUGGCUGGGAGCAGUGCUUAUUUCUAAUAACAGCUUGGCGCAAUCUGCACACAUUUUUCAGGCACCGUUUGCCUUUCCCUGCCAAGGGCCCUGCACACACAUUCUGCUCUCUGAAGAUUUCUGCCUGGGCUCCGAAGCUCCGUGUGCAGAGACUGAAGGAGAACCGGAAAUUUUGGAGUAAUGGAAAAUAGCUCGCUGGGUAUUUGAAGGAGUCGGAUGCCUGUGAUAAACAGUGCUGCCUGAGCUUCUCUCUUGCAGAGGUAAUAAAAGGGAUGCCAAUAGCAAGGCCUGGGAGGUGGUGUGGUGUCAGCUCAGUGCUGUGCUGUGUGCGCUGCUGGGGCUGUCUGUUUUCUGCUUUAAAGAGGGGCAAGCUGAGCAAGGAAGGGCUGCACCCACACUGUGCAGAGGGAUGUGUGAGCUGAGCCCCAUCCGAAGCAACUCCUGCAUGAGCGUCUGAACUUUUGCAAUUUUCUUACAACAUUUUGCAAAAUCUUGUGGUGUUUUUUACAAGUGCUGUGUGCUGAAAUAAGACUGUGCCACCCAAACACAAGCCACUUUGCUGCUGCAGCAAUGUUAGUUUUUGUGCACAGCCUCAUUCCAGCUCAGUGACACCGCGGCACACCUGCUGUGCUCUCAGCCCCUGGAACUCUGCUGAGGACAGGGUGUGAUUUU
rnacentral:lncRNA from 1 species